UUCGGAGUGGAGUUCUCCGACGCGAUGCGGCUUUGGUGGCUCGGCACGUAUCCCACCGCCGAUGAGGCCGUGGGUGCCUACGACGUGGCGGUGUGGCGUGCCGGACGGCCGAAGACGGACCUCAACUUCCCGGAGGUCGAGACCCAGGAGGUGGCGGAGUGGCUCGUGCCGCAGGGCAUCCGGAUGGAGGAGAUGCCGGCGAAGAAGGCGAAGAAGAGACCGGCGGUUGUCGUCGCUCCCAGCAAGAGCGACGAGGCGGCGAUGGGUCGGUUUGCACGAGAGCAUCCGCAGUACGUCCAGGCCGAGCUGGAGCACUACUGGAAGCACGACGUCGAGGCGCAAAAGAAGGGGGUGAAGAAGGAGGACGAGGCCAGCCCCUCGACUGUGAUCCCUAUCAAGUCGUUGGAUGAGGACUGGGGUGACUCCGAGGAGGAGGACGAGGGGUGCGAUGACCCGACCAAGGACGAGUUC
rnacentral:rRNA from 1 species